rnacentral:rRNA from 1 species
UUAGCGGCGGACGGGUGAGUAACACGUGGAUAACCUACCUAUAAGACUGGGAUAACUUCGGGAAACCGGAGCUAAUACCGGAUAAUAUUUUGAACCGCAUGGUUCAAAAGUGAAAGACGGUCUUGCUGUCACUUAUAGAUGGAUCCGCGCUGCAUUAGCUAGUUGGUAAGGUAACGGCUUACCAAGGCAACGAUGCAUAGCCGACCUGAGAGGGUGAUCGGCCACACUGGAACUGAGACACGGUCCAGACUCCUACGGGAGGCAGCAGUAGGGAAUCUUCCGCAAUGGGCGAAAGCCUGACGGAGCAACGCCGCGUGAGUGAUGAAGGUCUUCGGAUCGUAAAACUCUGUUAUUAGGGAAGAACAUAUGUGUAAGUAACUGUGCACAUCUUGACGGUACCUAAUCAGAAAGCCACGGCUAACUACGUGCCAGCAGCCGCGGUAAUACGUAGGUGGCAAGCGUUAUCCGGAAUUAUUGGGCGUAAAGCGCGCGUAGGCGGUUUUUUAAGUCUGAUGUGAAAGCCCACGGCUCAACCG